UCGGGAAUUUUGCGCAAUGGACGAAAGUCUGACGCAGCGGCGCCGCGUGUGCGAUGAAGGCCUUUGGGUCGUAAAGCACUGUCGACCGGGACGAAAACUCACGGACUAAUACUUCGUGAGUCUGACGGUACUGGUAAAGGAAGCACCGGCUAACUCUGUGCCAGCAGCCGCGGUAAUACAGAGGGUGCAAACGUUGCUCGGAAUUAUUGGGCGUAAAGCGCGUGUAGGCGGCUAGAUAAGUCAGAUGUGAAAUCCCUCGGCUCAACCGAGGAAGUGCAUUUGAAACUAUCUAGCUCGAGGAUGGCAGAGGAAGGUGGAAUUCCUAGUGUAGAGGUGAAAUUCGUAGAUAUUAGGAGGAAUACCGGUGGCGAAGGCGGCCUUCUGGACCAUUCCUGACACUGAGACGCGAAAGCGUGGGUAGCAAACAGGAUUAGAUACCCCCGUAGUCCCUGAGCGGGCUGGCAAGGCGCAU
rnacentral:rRNA from 1 species